AAAGGCCCGCUACUCGCUGCUCCUAAAAACAAUCCAAGGAGGUGGCCGACAGAGGGGUCAGUUUUGGGAGAGGUGUCCUGAUACCCUGCUCUUGAAAGAGUUCAAGUCGUAGGCAGGAGGAAAUACAGAUAAAGGAAGAUUGUUCCAAAGUUUACCAGCGUGAGGGAUGAAAGAGUGCAGAUGCUGGUUAAGGGAUUUGGACAGUAAAGGGAUGAGCAUGAGAAGAAAGUCGUGUGCAGCGUGGCCGCGGGAGGGGGGAGACAUGCAGUUAGCAAGUUCAGAAGAGCACGCAGCGUGAAAAUAACGAUAGAAGAUUGAGAGGCAACAUGGCGGUGGAAUUUAAGAGGUAGAAGACUAUCAGUAAGAGGAGGAGAGCUGAUGAGACGAAGAGCUCCACUCUCCAAUAGAGCUUGUUCCUCAUAGGCCACCGACACAGCCGCACUUUAAGGUGAGUCUUACUAUAGUUAUAUUGUGAUAACACCAUUAAUACCCACAACUGUUUCAUUACUACUGACUGUGGGAGUGAUGCAGAAUUACCCUUUCAUGCACCAUGACGCGAUUCGCGUCAAAACGGAAUCGUCUACAUGUGAGCUUUAGACUGUAAUCCCGUCAAAAACUUUAAAAAAUUCGCCAUAAAUAAUCUUUCAGAAUCGCGUCAAAUUUUUUCGCGUUUAAGAUCCAAGCUAGACCUAUAAAAUAAACGAAUUGUCAACUCUUUCGUGCCGUUGUAUUUGAAGUAUUAAAUUAUUGCCCGAGGCUUUGUUGCCUCUCAGCAGGCAGCCUGUGAGUGCGAACUGUCGUCCCUUUAAUAAAUUGUCCUGUCCAGAGCCUUGUAAGCCUAGAUUACACUUGUCAGACGAAAUUGGUGAAAUGUAUUCUUACUUCUGAUGUAAAGUGAUCGUGCCGUGAUACAAUAUUUUGUUUUAUAUUUGCAGGGACCAGUAACUGUUUAUAUUAGAAAAUAUCGCUUAAAAAUUAUCAAGUGAAGAGAUUUUGAGACCCAUUUGUACAGAGCAUGAUGAUGAUUUUCAUGAAAGUGAUAAAAAAAAAAAAAACUCCAGCAGUGUUAGGGAGAGGCUUAGUGGUAUUUAUUAUGAUUAUUAUUGCAUCUGGCGAAGUUCUUCCAGACAGCAAAUAGGUGCACUAAUAGUCAUGUUUGUUAAUAUUAUCAAAACUCUAUUCCAGACAAAAUAGACUUCUAUUCUGACUGCCUUGAGCUGCCUGUUGUGUUUUGUUUGCUGCCCUUGAGCUGUUUCUUCUACUGGAGAGAACAGAAUAGAUAGAAAAAUAUAGUUUUCCUCCAUUUUCUCAAGAACUACUAGUCAUAUGAAAAUUCCAAUGAUAACGUUGGAAUCCUCAUAAAAAUCCCUUUAUUAGCAUAUAAAUCAUAAAAAGUCGGCUCAGGAAGUUUCGAGCUACAAGGUGGUGAAUGUAUGCAUUUCUUAUUUAUCUUUAAUCAAUGUUUUUUUUUGGAGUUGGUAAACUUCGCUAUUUAUUUGCAUCUCUUGAUAUUUUUUUCUUUCACAAGGCAGAAUAAUCUCUUCCAAAACCAAUGAUAUAUAAUAUUAUUAUACAUAUCAUUGGAUUUGGAAUUCUGGCAUUAUUAUUAAUAAUGCCAGGAAAAAAAAAACUCGUGGGUGAAAUUGAUAACAUGAAAAAAAAAAAUUUGCUGCAGUCAGGUCAUUCUGCGAGAACCCCUAGGAAGCCCCAGAUGGAUGUCGCAGUGAAAAGAGAAACUUACUAAACUUUUGGUGCGUGAAAGGGUUAAGAAGCUGCCAUGGGAGCACCAUUACAAUUGUAUCAUAUUCCAUUUUUUUACAGAAAAAGAUGACUACUGACAAUUAACCCCUUGGAUGCAGAUUUCCUACAAGACAUCACCAAGCUACAGGAGUGCUACAAUUCACUGAAGAAAAAUGUAGUCAUGCACCUUGGGAGGGGAAAUCCAGCAUACCAAUACCACAUGGGAAACACUCCACUAUCCACCACAGAGGCAGAGAAAGACCUGGGAAUUUAUGUUACCAGGCUACCAGUAAAGGCGAAAUCUGUGCCAAUCGCAGCAGACAGAUUAAAAAUUUCUCUUCCUGUACUUCGUCUGCUGAAAGCUGCUGGAAAACAAAGUUGCCCCUUUGCUUGGCACCUCCCACAACAUCCCUCUGGUCCUUUGUGAACUCAGCUAUGCGAGCCAAUGUUGACUUGUCCCGGCUCAGGAAGGACCCCCUCUGUUUUGAGAAAAUAUCAAGGAAAUACACAGCCCAAGAAGCUCAUCAUCAUCAGGCUCGUCUUGAGAGAGGGGAAGCAUUGCAGGGCCACCUGGAGUAGUCUUCAGUGGGCUGGACUGAGCCGCCUUGGGACCGGCAAAACGACCCGUGCACAAGCCAAGCAGAUCGCUC